rnacentral:hammerhead_ribozyme from 1 species
AUUCAAAUGACGAGCCUCAAAUAGGACGAAACGCGCGUCCUAGAU